GGCACUGAUUAAGCCUAAUGGAUAAGGCACUGCCCUCCUAAGCCAGGGACUGUGGGUUCGAGUACCAUCUGGGGUGCCA
rnacentral:tRNA from 1 species